UAAGAUUAGGCCUGACUAAAGCACUUACGCUGAAAACGAGUGAAAACGUUGUGCAGUUUGACAUUAAAUUUUAGGGAAAUUUCUUCUUACUUCUGAUCUCAAACUAUCUUACGAUGGAUUCGGACAAAGACGAAAAGGAAGAUUUUGAGAUCACGGACUAUGAUCUACUUAAUGAAUUCAACGUUGACAGACCGACAAGGCGAAUGACAAAGGCGCAAGCAAUUUAUGGUGUUUGGGCUGACAGUGAUGAUGAGACAGACGAAAGACAAGGGUUUGGUACGACCGGUCAACGUAGCAAACGAGACUUGAACUUCAUUAGUUCAGAAAUCCGAGGUGGAGAACAGCAGAAAGAUGACAAGCAGGAUGACAAAGCCUCCUCCAUCUCAUAUCAGCUGCCCCUGCGACCCGAGGGGUCAUCCAAAGGUCAAAGUUCAAAGGUCAUGACCAAUGCUCAGAAGUCGCACGCCAGUCUGAUGAAAUCUGACAAGCAGUUUGGCAACUGGCAGAAGCACACGAAGGGCAUUGGUCAAAAGCUGCUGCUUCAGAUGGGUUACAUCCCAGGCAAAGGUCUGGGGAAAGCCAACCAAGGUAUCGUCCGACCGGUGGAAGCCACCAAGCACAAGGGGAAGGGGGCCGUGGGUGCCAACGCCACGUCUCAGUACGUGGGGAGACGGGGCGGCCGGGAGCCAGAGGCUGUGGAUUCCGAAGAGGAAGAAGAUACGCAGUUUAGAGAGGAGCUUGCACGGUGGAAGAAAGGAGAGGUCACAAUGCAGAAAACCAAGUACGUCUACCGCACCGUCGAAGAGGUGAAGAAGUCAGCCCACCUCACGAAACGGAAAAAAGCCGACCCGACCGCCCGAGGCGUGAAAGUCAUAGACAUGACGGGUCCCGAGCAGCGUGUGAUGUCUGGAUACAGUCACCUGGGCAAGCAACACGAUAAGCCCACGGAGAGGUUAGAGGUCGAGGGUAUGGAAGGGAAGAAGUCAGCGUUUGAGAUGCCGGAGUUGGAACAUAAUCUUCAGCUUCUGGUGGAGAUGGCCGAGCAGCAGAUCAUUCAGCAUGACAGACAAUUACACCAUGAAGAGGACAUGGUCGUCAACCUCCAACACGAGCAGGGCAAACUGCGAGCUGUCUUGAACCAGGAAGAGAGACAGAUCUCCCACCUCGAGAAGAUCAUGGAGAUCGUCGAGCAGUGCGAGGAACGGUCCAAGCCGGGAUGCCCGAACCCCUUAUCCUUGGAGGAGUAUGAGGACAUCUUUAAGACGUUACAGACCGACUAUCGGGAGGAGUACAGAGCCUUUGAGUUGUCGCAGCUUGCCACAGUGAACGUAUUACCCUUGAUAAAGAAAGAACUGACGUCUUGGGACGCACUCAGAGACAGCAACAAACAUGUAGACCUCUUCAAGAAGUGGAAAGACAUGCUAGACUCCGACGACAGCCGCUUCUUACUUCCCAACGGCAAGACCAUGACAGUGUAUGAGAGAUUAUCAUGGGAAAUCUGGAUGCCGCAGUUCAGACGGGCCAUCACCAACUGGAAUAUGAGGGAAUGUGACCCAAUCAUCGACCUUCUUGAGAACUGGCUGCCCCUGCUACCUCAGUGGCUUCUCAACAACAUCUUAGAUCAGCUGAUCUACCCGAGACUUCAAGAAACUGUGGAUGAAUGGAACCCACUGACUGACAUCAUCCCGAUACAUGCCUGGCUACACCCGUGGCUGCCUCUGAUGGGUGAUAAGUUGGAGCCCUUGUACAUUCCCAUUCGUCAGAAGCUUGCCAGGGCGCUAAGCAACUGGCAUCCCAGUGACUCCUCCGCUAAGACCAUCUUGAUUCCCUGGAGAAGGGUCUUCUCUCGGGGGACGUUUGAAGCCUUCCUGGUCAGGAACAUUGUCCCUAAGCUGGCUGUUUGCUUGCAGGAGUUUGUGAUCAACCCCUACGACCAGCAUCUUGAGCCCUACCGAUGGGUGAUUGACUGGGAGGAGUUACUACCGACCCCGACCCUGGCCAGUCUGUUUGAGAAACACUUCCUGCCCAAGUGGCUGCAGGUCUUGUGUUCCUGGCUGGGGAACAACCCUGACUACGAGGAAGUCAGUAAAUGGUAUCUGGGCUGGAAAGGACUUCUGCCUGAACGGAUACGAGAGGAGCCGGCCGUCAAAGUGUACUUGAAGGAUGCACUAGAUGUCAUGAACCAAGCAGUCUCGGGUUCACAUCCCGUCAGAGAAGCCGACAGCAUGGCUUACGUCAACAGCCUACGUCAGCAGAGGGAAGCAACCAGCAGCAACAGAUGGGAACCAGAGCCACAGCAGGCAAGACAGACAAGUGUCCCAACUAUAUCUGUGCCCACCAACUUCAGGGACCUGGUCGAAAAGAAGGCAUCAGAGAACAACCUCGUCUUCCUUCCCACCAACCGCCGACACGAAGGCAAGAACGUCUACAUGCUGGGCCCACUCAAUAUCUACAUAGAACGAUCCGUGGUUUACGUACACCAAGGACAUGUAUGGACGCCCAUGGGGUUACAGACAGCCAUUGAAUUGGCUCAAAAUAUGGCUUAAGUUAGGGGAAGCCGUUAUGUGAGCUAUGGACUUUUUGCGCAAGUACCCUGCAUGGAGGCACAGAGAUGUGACAAACACUUGAAUGCUGUUUAUGCCAAACUACCGUUUUCAGACCACACAGAGUUUUCACACAUUACCAUCUACAAUAACCGUAGCUGUUAUCAAAGUCUGUUAACUUUGCAAUCCUCUCCGUUAGGCUUGUGCGACAUUGGAUUUUGAGGGUCGACGGUAUACUGUCACCAAAAUGGUAUACCGUCACCAAAAUAUCGCGGUAUUCGGUAUUAUCAGGUACUUUUCUGGGUAGACUAUUACGUUAUCGAAAUACAAGAAGAUACACGAUGAUAUGGAAACUGCAAACAGGCAGCAUGGGCUAGCUGGACUAGUCGGCAGAAUCUGGAUACGGUGACCACAAGGAAUUUAAACCGUUAUCAGUCCAGUGCAGACCUGGCCAAGUUGUUUCUGUCACCUUUAUUUUGAAAGUGUUUUUGCACACAUCUGGCCACAUUCAAACGUAGGAACUGCGGUAAUGAAAUUCCAUACCGAGGUCGUCGAUUUUCUGUAUGGCAACAUAAUUCAGUUUUGUUCAAAAAAAUAUCGUCACUUCACGUUAUUAUUGAAAUAUAGCCCAAGCCUACUCUCCGUCUGUUGCAUGUUAAUCCUCAGCAACUGACUAGAUGUAAUUUAAUACAAAUAUUACAUGGUUCUCUGCCGUUUAACAGAAUGGCUAGUUUACAACUUGCUAUAGGUGAGGGGUUGUA
rnacentral:misc_RNA from 1 species